rnacentral:rRNA from 1 species
AUUGAACGCUGGCGGCAGGCCUAACACAUGCAAGUCGAGCGGAUGACGGGAGCUUGCUCCUUGAUUCAGCGGCGGACGGGUGAGUAAUGCCUAGGAAUCUGCCUGGUAGUGGGGGACAACGUUUCGAAAGGAACGCUAAUACCGCAUACGUCCUACGGGAGAAAGCAGGGGACCUUCGGGCCUUGCGCUAUCAGAUGAGCCUAGGUCGGAGUUAGCUAGUUGGUGGGGUAAUGGCUCACCAAGGCGACGAUCCGUAACUGGUCUGAGAGGAUGCGCAGACACACUGGAACUGAGACACGGUCCAGACUCCUACGGGAGGCAGCGGUGGGGAAUAUUGGACAAUGGGAGAAGGCCUGAUCCAGCCAUGCCGCGUGUGUGAAGAAGGUCUUCGGAUUGUAAAGCACUUUAAGUUGGGAGGAAGGGCAGUAAGUUAAUACCUGGCUGUUUUGACGUUACCGACAGAAUAAGCACCGGCUAACUCUGUGCCAGCAGCCGCCGUAAGAC